rnacentral:rRNA from 1 species
AUUGAACGCUGGCGGCAUGCUUUACACAUGCAAGUCGAACGGCAGCACGGGUGCUUGCACCUGGUGGCGAGUGGCGAACGGGUGAGUAAUGCAUCGGAACGUGCCCAUGAGUGGGGGAUAGCCGGCGAAAGCCGGAUUAAUACCGCAUACGCCCUUAGGGGGAAAGGCGGGGGAGUCUUCGGACCUCGCGCUAUUGGAGCGGCCGAUGUCGGAUUAGCUAGUAGGUGGGGUAAAGGGCUCACCUAGGCGACGAUCCGUAGCUGGUCUGAGAGGAUGAUCAGCCACACUGGGACUGAGACACGGCCCAGACUCCUACGGGAGGCAGCAGUGGGGAAUUUUGGACGAUGGGCGAAAGCCUGAUCCAGCCAUGCCGCGUGAGUGAAGAAGGCCUU